CAUGCGUGAGUCUUCUCUCAAGGACAAAGAGAAAGAAGCUGAUGUGUCAUCUGCUCAUGAAAACUACAAGGACAAGACAAAAGUGGAGGAAUCCCACACCAAGCCAGACCAACUGAGUUCUCACGAAGAUGGCAAAUGCACUUCAAGGAACUCCAAAAACUCCUGUUCUGAAUAUGAUAACUCAUUGUUUGAAUCUGAUAUUGAGUCAUCAUGUUCAGAAGAUAAUUUCAGCCUUGAAUGUGAAGAUGCAUCCAAUGAAUCAAGUUCUGAGUCCAAUUCUGGACCUAUCAAGUCGGAUUCAGAGUCCAGCUUGCCGAACGAGUUUGAUUUCUGCUCCAAUAAUUUAAGUCCCAAGCCAAAUAAGUCCCUUCCUAUGAGUGUGUGCAUCAAGCACAACAGAACCCAUCAGGCAAAAGAAAACAAAUGGAGUCAUGGGAAAAAAGAUUUCCCAGUUAGGAAGCACAAAAGGCGCCGGGACAGGAAAAACAGACUACAGAGCAGGGAGAGAAACCCACCUGCUGUGAAAAGUGAGCAAUUUACCAAGAACAGAAAGUCCAGCAAAGAACCCCUUCCUGAGAACAAGGAGGGUUGCAGCGGGAAGAGAAAGGCCCAAACGGAGAAGAAUGGGGCCCACGCAGAAAAGAGCAAAACACAGAAUGAAAACUGGGAGACCCAUGGUGGGAAGACAAACCUCCCUAAAUUAAAAACCGAUUCACAUUAUGCAGAGGAGAAGUUCCAUACUGGGAAGAAAAAACACAAAAUUAGGAAUUCUGAGAUGCGUACCAAGAAGAAAGUUGAGAAAGAAAUGACUGAUGAUCCCCCUGGAAAAUGUGAAAUGCAGACCAAGAAGUCUAGAUCAAAAAAGAGCAGAUCUUAUCCAGAAAGUGAUUCUGACUCAGGAACGGAGCAGCAAACUGUGCAGAAAGGACGACCUUACAAACCAAAUUCAGGCAUUGGCAGCCCAUGCCUGAGACAUACUCGGAAGAAAACUGCUUCUCCAAACAAAGCAAAAGGGACCCUGAGUGAGAAGGCAGAGUUACAGUCCACAAAGAGUGAACCAAAACUGGGAAAGACAAGAUGUCUCCAAAAGAGAGAACUGCAAGUUGAGAGAAAUACGCUGCGUGUUGGGAAGAGUAUGGUGAAUGUCCACAAGGGACAGGUCCAAACGGAGAAGGGCAAGAUAAAGAUCCAAAUAAAUCAGUUGUAUCCUUUGAGGAGCAAUGCGAACACCCAGAAGAGGGAGUUGCACCCUAGGAGCAGCAUAAGACAUAUCGAAAAAAGUGAAUUACAUAACGGGAGAGGUAACAAAGCCAUUUCGCUUCAUUGCAAAGAAUCUGCUAGUGAGAGCAAUGUACCAGCUUAUACAUGGAAAGUGCCAGCAACUGUCUGGUUUGGCCCAGCAGAAAAUGCAGCACACUUCCUCUUUGGGGAGACAGCAGAAUAUCCUGGUGGGCAAACGCCUCUGCUAAGUAAAAGGCGGACAUGUGGGCCGCAACAGCCCUUGCCUGGAAACCAGUGGGCAAAUAUCCAUACCUGGAACAAAAUUAACCAGAUAUAUCAAAAGAAGAAUUUUCUUCCGUAUAUCAACAGUCCACCUCAGAAUGGGAAGAACUGCCCCCCUUCAUAUGUAAGCAGUCAUGCUUCAGUCGCUAAUCCAGACGCCUCUGUUUCCUGUUCAAAAUGUUCCCAGUGUUGGUGCAAGUUUUUUCAACCAAACCCAUGAAAUCAGGCACUGGGUGCCUACCAUCGGUAAUUGCUUUAAUAUACACAAAUGAUCCAAUAAAGCAAGGACCAGGAACCCAUA
rnacentral:lncRNA from 1 species